rnacentral:lncRNA from 1 species
UCAAAUGCAGCGAAACUGAACCAUGCGCAGACGUGCAUUUGAGCAACAUCAAUCUUAGAUACACUGGAGCAAACCUAUUCAAGCUAUCGUCUGAAGCUGAAUCUGAAUCUGAAUCUGAAACACCCCAGUCUGCUUGCAUAAAUGUUCUCUCCCCAAUCAUCAGUGACAAUGUGUUCCCUAAGGCUUGCUUUUGAAUCAUAAAAAUCAAGGGAGAAUUCAUUCUUUUGGUAGAACAACAAUAAGAUGCAAAAAGAUUAACAUUUUCUUCAAAGAUGGAAAACAUUAAUUCAUAUGUAUUUAUAUAUACAUAUAAUAUCUAUAUCUAUGUAUGUAUGAAUUAUGUUCAUUAGAUGAUAUUUAUAUAACUAUAUAUAAUAUAUAUAUAGUAGAAGGUUGUUAUGUAUGAUCAGACAAACAGAAUGAAUCAAUAUAUAUAGAAAGGUGAAAGAUCAAUUGCUUAAAAACUUUGUAUGUCAUAUUCGAUUUUCAACUUAUAUAUUUGAUUCGUUGAUAGACACACGAUCGACUAUUCAACAAUCUCAUAGGAUAUUUAAGACUUAGAAGAGAAUGGUCACCUUAGGCUGAAGAAUUGGGGAAGAACGAUGGUCCAGGACGGUUGGGCGAAUUUGAACCCGGUCCAAGUAUAAAUAAACUUAAAAGGAAGAUCGUCUGACCUAGCCGUUACAACGAAUUUGAUGUAGUCAUAUCUUACAUGGUCUAGGAGCCCAUUUCCUAUAGAGAAGGCCCAUUAUCAUCCAGAAUGUACCCAGGUACCUUGAUAAUCAUCACUUGGAAACCUAAAUCAUCACACAUGUCGUUUCCAUAUAUUUUCUUCUUGAAAUUAAUGCUCAACAGCUUUUGCUGAAGAUCUUUCCGUAUCUCGGAUUUCAAUGCUUCGAUCAUCGUCCCUAUCUCCACCAUUUCCGAACAUGUUUGUUUUUUGCAGUUCUCGGGAUCCGCCUGAACAGCUUCGUGUCUUGAGAGUUCAAUCUCUAAUACUUUUACUUUGGAUUUCAGGCUAAUCAACUCUAAUUCUGCAAUCUCUAACGAUGAUCGUAGCUCCAUCAACUUGGUCGAUGCGAUUAACAUCGCGUGAUUCAACUGCAAUCCUUUAUGAUUGCAAAGCUUCCUCGAUGUUUCUCUAGAUCUUUACUCUCCGUCUACUUUUGUACAAACUUUCCCAUUUCUAUUUUUUUCCUUGUUUCAGAGAUUUCCAUUCUCGGAUUCUCGAUCAAACCCUCCAUUGCAAUGACUUUCUUCUCCUAUUUCUUGGUAUUCUCAAGCUCGCUUCUUAGAAUCUUCAUCUCUUUUGGUGACUAUACUCCUAUCCUUUCCAUCAACAGAAACUAAGGUUACGUUCGCUUUAUACUAGACCCUUAGAAGUCUCCCAUGGAAUCGGAAUGAAAGGUCUUUGUCGAGACCCAAGUCAACCCCUCAAAUCGCCUAUUGCGUUAGGUUAAUCGCUGAUUCUGGGAGAAGGUCGUCGAAGUCCAGGAAACUUGGUAAUUUCUCCCAGUAAUCGUCGGUUCCACCCUAAAUCGUCGAUUCCAGAGGAGUUACUUGCAUCUAACCUGACUGCUUUAAUGGCUCAGACGUGAUCUCCAUCGCAGAUGUCACCCGUCGAGGCCUUAUAAAAGGUGACCUUUCGAGGACAUCUAAGGCAUCAGUUCCAACAUUUUCAGAGCGAUAAUUAAACACGGAGCAAUGGUCGAUUUGCUAGCUUAAAUCGCCGAUUCUCUCCAGAAGAUCGACUUGACAUAGAGUGGUUUUUGUGGAUUCCAGAACCUCCGACACAAGAAGAUAACCACUCGUACCGCCGAGAGUACUGGUGGGAUAUUUCAGUCUUCAUCAGCUGGCACCAUCUGUGGAAAACUCGGAAUUACCGAUUAGUUAUCUAUCACCGAAGGUCUCUGAGUGCGAAGCUCUGUCAAAAAUACCUUAGUUCACAAAUCGUCGAUUUUGACUAGUGUAAUUGCCGAAUUUGGUUGGGUUUUUGGAGACUUCGUCAAGUCACUUUGCGCAAUCGUCGGUUUCGUCAUGAAACCAUAGAUUUGUACUUUUCUCUCGACAUGGUUGAAUCGAAUUUGACUAAUUUAGUCACCAUGGCUCCUUUGACCAAAAGUCUAAAGGUUGUUGUUGUUGCCGCCGCCAUUGAGGCCGCAACUUCUAGCAAGAGGGCUGGUUCAACAUUAUACGAGCUACUCAUGCACCACUUCCGUCGCAAGACACCGAGUUACCCCCACCACUCCCGCCAAACUGUGAAGUGGCCCCACCACUCCUGCCAAAUAGUAGAGUGGUCCCACCUCUUACUAUUCAAUAAAGCGACACUUUCUACCAACGAAUCAUUCACAUAGCUCAAUUGGAUUGAAGUUGGGAAGGUUCUGCCUGUCCGAUUAUUGAGUGCCCAAGCUGAUGCGCCUUGUGCGUCAAAUAUCCCAUGCCCGGUUAGCUUGAAGCCCUCAAGUCUUGCAAAGACUAUCCAAUGCAUCUUUGGGUACACAGUUAGAUUUUUAGAAGCCAAAAUUAUUCCUUCAUUUUCAAAGAUAAUCCUUCGUUUGGAUGGUCCGUAGAAAGACAUUGAACCAGUGAAAUACGUUCCAAAGGAACGGAAACUUGAGCCAUUCCUUCAUUUUGACAAGCAUCUUUCCAUGCGUUCAUAAAAGCCUAUAUAUAAAACAAAAUAAAUAUUAAUCAAUCCCAAUAUUCCAUUGCUUGAUUUAUAGAUAAAGAUAUUCUUGUCCAAAAGUAGAGGGUUCAAAUAAACCGAGCCUAAUUUGGGUGUUAGAGCCAAGCUCGGGUUCGUUAUGAUUUUAAUUAGGCUAGGAUUCGAGCUCGACUCGAAGCCUAUUUUACAAAGCACAAGCUCGGUUUGAAAUCUGGACCUAAACUUGGUAAAAAACCUAUUUUACAAAGCAUGAUGAGCUCGUCUUGAAUCCUAAGUCCAAAAGCUAUAUAAUCUCAAAUUUUACAGUAGUGAUAACUUGAACCAAUUCAUGUUUUAUAAUAAUUUAUCUAGCCAACCAAAAAUUUCUUUAUGUAUAUUUAAUGAAAAUACAUAAGCUUAUCGAGCCAAGCUCGGCAAUUCAAGCACUUGCUCGGCUAGUUAAGCUUUUAGGUAAAAUUUGUAACCUUAGUCACAAAUCAUGAACAUCAAUAUAAAAAAAAACUAUUUGUGUACAAACAUGUGAGGAAUCAUUAACGCCAUCAAAUUUGGCACCAUAGUCGAUCACGUCGAAGUAUCUCACAGCACCGACAUGACGAAAACCCGCAAAUGCAAACAAAUAGAUAAACAUAAAAAGUGUUUUAGAAAAAAGAUUUUUAUGCAUAUCCAUUUUUCUUCUGAGAUCUUUGAAGGCGAUUAAUAAUAUGAGUUCUCAGAUCAUGUGUUUUGAUCAUUUAUAUUUCAUUUAUGGUGCUUUUAAUAAAAAAAUAUCAUUUAUGGUAACAAAAUGAAAGGUUUAUAAUUUCUAAGCUGAAUUAAACAAUUACUUAAAAUAAACAAGACAAAAAUACUAGCGAUCAAUUGGAAGUCUGGAACGAUAGGUUGUCAUCGAAAAGUGACGCAUAAGGUAUAUGACAGUAGUGGACACCAUUGAAUAUCGAACUACAAGAAAUAAAACUUUGACGUUUGUCGUUUAUAUUUGAUUUUUUUUUUAAUUUCCAUCAACUAUGUGAGUCACCUUUGAAGUUUGUCGCAUAUAAUAUAAAGCGAUAACUUUUGUGACCAAUUUUAAGAUGAAAGUGACCAACAGUUUGGUUGCCUGGCUCUUUAAAAAAAAUACGAUCAAUAUGUUGGUCGCCUAUAGAUCACUAGUGACGAGGUUUCUUGCGACUGACGUGGCGACCAAAUUUUUUUUCCCACAAGCGACCAACUUUUUCCUAUAAAUUUUGGUACGAUCUCUGCAAAUUAGGUACAAAACUCGAUGAUUUUGGUCUAUUUUUUGUAAACACGUCACGAGAGAAAUUUGGAAAAGAACUAUUUAUUUUGGUAAAUCAAGCUCAAUAAUGUUUCUACAUUCAAGAUUCAUUCAAAUCUGACUGAAGUUGUGUUUAAAAUACCAAAUAAAAAUAUUUUUGAUGUCGAUAUUGACGAUUGUAAUUAAAUUUUAAAAAUGUAUAUUUGAAUUAUAACGAUUGUAAAUGUUUUCAUUUUGAGUAAAAAAAAUGAAUCAACUACUUGCAAUCGUCGAACGAUUUGAGCGACUUAACCGGAUUCAACAUAGUUUUCAGAAAAAAAUAUAGAUUAUUCAUGUCGUGUUUUUGUUUGUUUUCGUUACGGAGUAAACGGUCAUCAUAUUAAUGACUGUUAUAAAAUAUAAACGAGAAAUCCUCAAUAAAUGGAAAUUGGUAAAAUUUUAGUCUUAAGACACGAAGCAAGGGUGUUGAAUGAUUGUGGAAAUACACAUUCAUUCAAAAUCGAAUACAAUUCUUCUCAUGAAGACUUUGAAGAUAUAUUAUGCAUGAUAAUAAAAUUUGUAAAUCACAAUAGAAAAAUUUUUUGGUUAUUGUGUCAGACUAAGAUCUCUUAUACAGGUGUUUGGGUAUGUAUUUGACUAAACUUAUUUUCUUUUGAAAUUAAUUUUAAUUUCUCAGAUUAUGUUUAGCACGUUUUUUUUAUCUUCAUCGAUGUUAUGAUUACAUCGCGUCGUUCACUAGAUGACACAAAUUCAAGUGGUUAGUAUAUUUCUUAUAAUAUAUAUAGUACGUAUACACCACAAAGUUAAUUAUUAAUUUUCAAUUAGUUGUAUCAUCCACAUCCGAGAUGCACGAAAGACUACCCCCAUAACCAUCCUGAAACAGGUACGAAAUGGUUGGUCAUGUUCAACAAUACGAACCAAAGCUACAGACGAAAUAGCAAAUAAAUUGACUACAUAGAUGGUCCACUUAGUAAAAGACCAUACGCUAUUUUCGUACGACGUUGAGUGACGUCAUUAAAAUCCACAUAACUUUAAAGACGCGUUGAAAAUACUUACUGUAAAUAUAUAUAUAUGUAUGUAUGUAUGUAUGUAUGUAUAUAUGUGUUUAAUUAUUUUUCAAAACUCAUAUGGUUUUUAUAUAUAGGAUAAGUAUGACUUGAGUAAAAGCAAAAUCGCACAAACGUAUAUCAAUACUAAGUUGAAUAAGCUUUGGAGGAACAACAACAAUUCGUUGCUGAAAAUAUAUGACAGAAAUUUAAAUAUGACUGAAGUUGAAAUUCUUGAAACCCUUCCACCUUAUAUCAGCAAACCUCAAUUUUUAAAUAAAAUAAGAUAAGCAAGAUUUGAGAGAAGAUAGGAAUGUAUAUAUAUAUUUGAAAUUACAAAUUCUCUAGGUUAAUUUUCAUUAUUUGUUUAAAAUUUUAGAAAAUUUCUGAGAUAAAUUUCACAAAUCGAUCGAAUCAUUUGACACAUCACGCUGGUUCAAAAGGAUCAAAACAACGGCGUCAUGAAUUGGUAAUCAUAACAAAUUUAUAUUUAAAUUAAUCAAAAACUAAUUAAUCAUGUUUAAUAUAAGGAAAAUAAGGAAUGAAUGAGCCUGAUCUUGAUCAUUAACAAUGAUAUAUUACAAAAACAAAAAAAUAGUAAGUUCUUUUAUUAUUUUAUAAAUUAUCAUUUGUAUUUUGUAUUAUUUAAAUUUUAAUCUUUAUGCAGCAAAAAACCACCGCUUUUAUUAAAAAUGAUGGGAGAAAAUCUUAGGCUGAAUCUGACAUCCUUGAUGAGUUUAAUUGUUAUAUAUAUAUAAGGAAAUUAUCAGGUACAAUAUUGUUAUUUGCGAUAUAUACGCCAUCUUCAAUCAUAACCGUCCGUUUGACAUCUGACGGCUUUCAUUCUUCACGGUAGUUCUACAUAUCUAGUGUAUGACGCCAGAUCCAGAUCUCGAGGUGUUUUUUUUAAUUACGAGUUACACUGUUUUAUUUUGUGUGUAAUACUGACUUUUAACUUAAAUUGAAACAGUGUUAUGUCUUUUUUUUCAAAUAAAUCUCGAUAAAAAUAUUUUUUUUGUCUCCUAUUUAAUACUCGACUUGACUAAGUUAUUUAAUGUGUUGUACGACACAUCAAACGUCCACUAUUCCACAUGUCAAACAUCCUUCUAAAAUGUUGUGUCAUAUAUAUCUUCAUCCAUAUCUCACUCAUAUGACUUCCUUUCACUCCCAGUCCAUCCAUUUCUAUCCAUUUUUUUCAUUCUCCAAGCUCGAUUCAUCUCUAAGGUUAGUUCUUCUAUAUUUAGUUACUUUUUUUAAUUGUCGAAGUGAUUUCCGCUAGCUUGUCAAUCACCACGACCGGCCUAUGUAGGGGAUGUCUUCCCGACACUGUCAAAAGGUGCCCGUACGUCACUUCCUACCUCAGACAUACUACUUCAAUCAUUGUAAUAUGCACGUCAUCCUCUAUAUAAAUAUGGUCUUCCUACCUCCGUUAUCCUCAAGUUUCAUUUCAUCUACCUCUUUCUUCUCGUCGGAAAAUGGCUGAUCCUUCUAUCAUCAUUCUUUCUGAUGAUGAAGAACACAUCAUUCUUUCUGAUGAUGAAGAAGUCGUCCCUCACUACCAACCACCACAACCGGAGUUGUCCCUUAGCUAUGAUGAAUGGUCGACGCAAUCUUUAGAUGAUACCUACGAUUCUGAUUCGUCUAUGACUGUUGAAUCACAAAUGCCCACCGAAUCCCAUAUUAGCAGGACGUCUACAUUAUGUUAUUGUUUUACUUUUCCGUUGCAAUAUAGUACUUAGUUGUAAGGUUUAGUUAUUCUUCUUUCAUUCAAUACGUAAUAUAUUGUAGUCUCCCGUAGUCGUUAUCUAUCAAUGGACGUGUAUUAAUUUCCACAUCUCUUUAUGUCUAAUGAAAUAUUUUAUUUUCCUAUCACUGUUUUUAUUUGAAAUUUCACUACCACAACUGCAUACUUGACAGAAGGACCCCAAAUUAUUUACCUCGUCCAUUCCUUAACAUAAGGACCCCAAAUUUAUCAAAUUACAUUUCUAUCAAUUUCAAUGUUAUAAAUUUAGCAAAUAAUCAGUGAAUGACACUUCCUCAAUUGACAAUAAAUAUUUGUUGUGGAUUAUCACUAAAAUUAACAUAAUCGUUAGGUUUAUAAACAAUUUUGAUGUUGUAAUCUGUAGUUUUACUUACCUGUAGUUGUUUACCUCUUAGGUCAGACGUAGUACUAUUUCUUUUUCUGUCGUAGUUUAAAAAUCGUAUCAGAUGUCAUACUCUAUAGUUUAAUGGUUAUAUUGUAGUUUCAAUUCAGUUGUCAUGCAGUUUAGUUUAAUUUUGUAUUACGGAGUCCAUAUUUGUUGACGUACUAUUUACAUUCAGAUUAACAAUGACCCACAAUAGAUACUUCAUAUUAACAAUUACCUGAAAACAUUUUAAAUCAAACAUGAAAUUCAAAUUCAAAUUCAAUUAUUAUAGUUUGAAGUACUUCAAAAGUAAUCAGUACAGCCCUAAAAUAAUCCCUAAAAAUAAGAUGGUAAGAAAUUUGUCAAAAUAAGAACCACAAACAAUGUAGAAAUGGUUCUAUUUCUACUUUUGGUUUAGAGAAAUUCAAGGGAAAUCAAUUGAUGGUUGAAAUGGUUUUGGUGACAAUAUAAAUUGCACCCAAAUGAUGAAGAAUACUCAAGCCACAUAAUUCAAACUCACAACAAUAAAAGAAAAAUAAAAGGAUCGGAAAAUGGGUGUGAUUUCAGAUCUCCUCUUUGUCGUCUCCCAUUUGUUUGUGCUCUUUGCAUUUGUCAAUGUACCGAUUGCAAGCGCUCAAAGUAUCUUCAAUGUUAAAAGAUAUGGGGCCUUAUCUGACGGAAAAACUGAUUCCAUCCAGGUAGAUUAAUUUUUUUCACGAUUGAUGGUACCCCAACGCCAGAAUUAGGUUGUGGAGAGAUCAGGUUAAGAAACCAGGCCGCCGUAGGGGAGAUGUGAUCCAUAAGGGCUUCCCCAACCCUAAUUAUGUUCUAUAAAUAGUAAAUCAUACCACUGUAAUAAGAACCUUUUGCCAUUUUAUCUGAUCAAAUUACCCUAGAAAUGAGUGUGAUUGAUCGUCUACCGAAAUCCCAAGAGAUCUGGUAUCAUCAACAAUAUAUAUCCGAGGAUAUCAAAUAUUCCUAUAAAAUUAACAAGUGUGCAUUUAUAAGGUAUAAUUUUCAUGAUCUCACUGUCUAGAAUUUGAUUGAAGGCUUUUGAAGAUGCUUGGAAAGAUGCUUGCGAAUCUGAAGAACCUUCAACCGUUUUAGUUCCGGAAGGGGAGUUUCUUGCUGGUCCAUAUGAAUUUAAAGGACCUUGCAAAAGAAGAAUUACCUUCCAAGUCGAUGGGACGGUUAUUGCUCCCACAAGUCCAAAUGCAUUCACAAGAAAAAAUUGGAUCAUGUUUUCAUACAUCGACGAGUUCAAGAUGAGCGGUCACGGUAUAUUUGAUGGCAUGGGAAAAUCAACAUGGGGACAUAACGAUCGUUCUGGAAUGACAUUCCCCACUGUGAGUUGAAUUGAUCAGUUUUAUUAUAUAUAUUAAUCUGAAUGAAGGUUUUUGGUAUCUUAAUAUAAUGCCUGCAUCCAUGCCAUGGCAGUCUCUCCAAUUUAGCUUCAUGAACAACUCCAUAGUUGAAGGUAUCACAUCAAAAAACAGCAAGAUGUUUCACAUAAUGAUCUUGGCUUGCAUUGACAUGAAAGUCAGAAGAUUGAAAAUCAUUGCUCCAGAAGACAGUCCAAACACUGAUGGCAUCCAUAUUGCUCUCUCUACCAAUGUGGAAGUAACACAAACACAAAUCGGCACCGGUGAUGAUUGCAUCUCCAUCGGACCAACCAAUAAUGGUAUCACCAUCACUGAUGUGGAAUGUGGUCCAGGACAUGGUAUCAGCGUCGGUAGUCUCGGAAAAUACUCUUCGGACAAGGAUGUUUCCAAUGUUUUAGUGAAGGACUGCAAGAUUACCAAAACAACAAAUGGUGUUAGAAUCAAAACAUGGGAGCAUUCGUUCCCUAUGACAUGUAGAAACUUUACCUUUGAAAACAUCAAAAUGGUUGAUGUCUCCAACCCCAUCAUCAUUGAUCAACACUACUGCCCUACCCACAAUUGUGGUCAACAGGUAUAUAUCCAAUAUAUAUAUAUAUGUAUGUAAUGUUAUCGUAUGUUUUAACAUUGUUGCAUGUGCACAGACUAAUUCAAAGGUGAAGAUCAUCGAUAUGAAGUUCAAGAACAUCGAAGGAACAUCAGAAACACCACUUGCUAUUAAUCUCAAAUGCAGCGAAACUGAACCAUGCGCAGACGUGCAUUUGAGCAACAUCAAUCUUAGAUACACUGGAGCAAACCUAUUCAAGCUAUCGUCUGAAGCUGAAUCUGAAUCUGAAUCUGAAACACCCCAGUCUGCUUGCAUAAAUGUUCUCUCCCCAAUCAUCAGUGACAAUGUGUUCCCUAAGGCUUGCUUUUGAAUCACAAAAAUCAAGGGAGAUCUUUAAUAGCAUUAAUAUAGCAUUAAUUCAUAUGUAUUUAUAUAUACAUAUAAUAUCUAUUUCUAUGUAUGUAUGAAUUAUGUUCAUUAGAUGAUAUUUAUAUAACUUUAUAUAUAUAUAUAUAGUAGAAGGUUGUUAUGUAUGAUCAGAUAAAUAAAAUGAAUCAAUAUAUAUAGAAAGGUGAAAGACCAA